rnacentral:rRNA from 1 species
UACGAAGGGGGCUAGCGUUGCUCGGAAUCACUGGGCGUAAAGGGUGCGUAGGCGGGUUUUUAAGUCAGGGGUGAAAUCCUGGAGCUCAACUCCAGAACUGCCUUUGAUACUGAAGAUCUUGAGUCCGGGAGAGGUGAGUGGAACUGCGAGUGUAGAGGUGAAAUGCGUAGAUAUCGUAAGGAAGACCAGUGGCGAAGGCGGGUCUCUGGACAGUUCCUGACGCUGAGGCGCGAAAGCGUGGGGAGCAAACAGG